UUAAGUGGAUCUCAAAAUGAAA
rnacentral:snRNA from 1 species